rnacentral:rRNA from 1 species
ACUCCUACGGGAGGCAGCAGUGGGGAAUUUUGGACACUGGGCGAAAGCCUGAUCCAGCAAUGCCGCGUGAGUGAAGAAGGCCUUCGGGUUGUAAAGCUCUUUUGUCAGGGAAGAAACGGUGAAAGCUAAUAUCUUUUGCUAAUGACGGUACCUGAAGAAUAAGCACCGGCUAACUACGUGCCAGCAGCCGCGGUAAUACGUAGGGUGCAAGCGUUAAUCGGAAUUACUGGGCGUAAAGCGUGCGCAGGCGGUUUUGUAAGUCUGAUGUGAAAUCCCCGGGCUCAACCUGGGAAUUGCAUUGGAGACUGCAAGGCUAGAAUCUGGCAGAGGGGGGUAGAAUUCCACGUGUAGCAGUGAAAUGCGUAGAUAUGUGGAGGAACACCGAUGGCGAAGGCAGCCCCCUGGGUCAAGAUUGACGCUCAUGCACGAAAGCGUGGGGAGCAAACAGGAUUAGAAACCCCGGUAGUCCCA